UACGUAGGGGGCAAGCGUUGUCCGGAGUUACUGGGCGUAAAGCGCUCGUAGGUGGUGAUGUACGUAGAGGGUUCCAGCCAGCGGCUUAACCGCUGGAGUGCUCGCUAAACGGCAUGACUUGAGGGCUAGAGAGGGACAUGGAACUCCGGGUGGAGUGGUGAAAUGCGUAGAGAUCCGGAAGAACCCCAGAGGCGAAGGCGGCCACCUGGCCCACGACUGACGCUCAUACACGACAGCAUGGGGAGCG
rnacentral:rRNA from 1 species